AAUCCUUUAACAAGGACCUAUUGGAGGGCAAGUCUGGUGCCAGCAGCCGCGGUAACUCCAGCUCCGAUAGCGUAUAUUAAAGUUGUUGCGGUUAAAACGUUCGUAGUUGAACUUGUGCUUCAUACGGGUAGUAUAACUAUAAUUGUAGUCUGUACUAUACCUUAUGUAUGUAAGCGUAUUACCGGUGGAGUUCUUAUAUAUAUUAAAUACUUGUAUUUAUAUGUAUUCCUCCUAUUUAAACCUGCUUCAGUGCUCUUCAUUGCGUGCUGUUGUAGGCCGGUACAAUUACUUUGAACAAAUUAGAGUGCUUAAAGCAGGCUCCAAAUGCCUGAAUAUUUUGUGCAUGGAAUAAUGAAAUAAGACCUCUGUUCUACUUUCAUUGGUUUUUAGAUCAAGAGGUAAUGAUUAAUAGAAGCAGUUUGGGGGCAUUAGUAUUACGACGCGAGAGGUGAAAUUCUUGGACCGUCGUAAGACUAACUUAAGCGAAAGCAUUUGCCAAAGAUGUUUUCAUUAAUCAAGAACGAAAGUUAGAGGUUCGAAGGCGAUCAGAUACCGCCCUAGUUCUAACCAUAAACGAUGCCAGCUAGCAAUUGGGUGUAGCUACUAUUAUGGCUCUCUCAGUCGCUUCCCGGGAAACCAAAGCUUUUGGGCUCCGGGGGAAGUACGGUUGCAAAGCUGAAACUUAAAGGAAUUGACGGAAGGGCACCACCAGGAGUGGAGCCUGCGGCUUAAUUUGACCCAACACGGGAAAACUUACCAGGUCCGAACAUAAGCGUGUAAGACAGAUUGAUAGCUCUUUCUCGAAUCUAUGGGUGGUGGUGCAUGGCCGUUCUUAGUUCGUGGAGUGAUUUGUCUGGUUAAUUCCGAUAACGAACGAGACUCAAAUAUAUUAAAUAGAUGCUUUCAGGAUUAUGGUGUUUGAAGCUUUUAUAGCCUUCAUUCAUGAAUGCAGUAACAUGUGUGAGUGUUUGAAUGUGUUUAUAAAGGUGGAGCCGUACCUGUUGGUUUGUCCCAUUAUAAGGACACUAGCUUCUUAAAUGGACAAAUUGCGUCUAGCAAUAAUGAGAUUGAGCAAUAACAGGUCUGUGAUGCCCUUAGAUGUCCUGGGCUGCACGCGCGCUACAAUGAAAGUAUCAACGUGUAUUUCCUAGACCGAGAGGUCCGGGUAAACCGCUGUACCACUUUCAUGCUUGGGAUUGUGAACUGAAACUGUUCACAUGAACUUGGAAUUCCCAGUAAGUGUAGUCAUUAACUCGCAUUGAUUACGUCCCUGCCCUUUGUACACACCGCCCGUCGCUACUACCGAUUGAAUUAUUUAGUGAGGUCUCCGGACGUGAUCACUGUAACGCCUUGCGUGUUACGGAUGUUUCGCAAAAGUUGACCGAACUUGAUUAUUUAGAGGAAGUAAAAGUC
rnacentral:rRNA from 1 species